AUUCAUUCCUGGGAUCCAGGCUGGGCACUCCGGAAGCCACUGUGCUUCGCAGAGCAGGCAGCUUCUCCGAUGUGACCGUGAAGUCGCUUUAAAGAAAGGUUCAGGGAACUUGCUUUGUGGCCGGCGGAGGCCUGCCCUGCGAAUGCAGCAAGUGUAGCGGCCACACAGGAGACGCCGGCUCUCCUAGCCUGCGCACAGAUCUGCCUCCACCAGACCGGCCUUAGAGAACGUCGGGGAAACGCCAGGAAGCAGGAGCAUAUGCCGUUCACACAAAAAGCAUCUCCAACAACGACCGCGGCAGCCCCCGCGCCCACCCGGGAAGCCGCGCAGAGCCCGGCGCCGCGGCGCCCUGGGAGGAGGCUCUGCCAAGCGUGCUGACACAGCUGAACAGUCGUAGAACGUCAUGAACAGUCCCAGGAGUUCCAGAGGAUGAAUGAAGUGUGCACACAAACACAGCCCAGCAGAA